rnacentral:lncRNA from 10 species
AAAUGAGAACUCCCAACUCUGAGUUACCCGUCCAUUACUCAGCCUGCUAGGCCACGCUGCCUCUCCCCAGCAACUCUCCCUAUCUAUUAUAUACAUAUAUACAAUUUAGACUGAGCAUGCUGGGUGGCUUAACUAAUGAUUGCAGACCACUUUGGAAAUAGAAAAUACCCUGUGUGCACAGAACUAGUAAUGAUUAGAUAACAGACUGUCCUAAAUUUUACAUUUAAUUCAAACAAACCUUUUCUUGAUGAAAGUUUUGCUAUUAAACAAAAGACUUUUUUUAUACUAGAGGUUUUCACGGUAUUUUCAUUUGAGUUGAAUUUCUGUUCUUCAGACCCAUAUUUCUGCCAAUUUCUAUCUCUUGUGCUUUCUCUGGCACAACUGAAAGAACAAAGUUAAUAACAGAGAAAGGACAAGCUUUAAAAAGUGCUGCAUUUAUCGUCGGUUGUAAUUCUGCUAUUAAAUGGUCUUGGCAUUUGGGAAAUUCUUCUCAAUCUUGCUUUUUUUCUUAGAGGUAAAAAAUGGAAAACAUGGAAUUUAUACUAAAAAUAAUCCUCUAUCUUCUGCGUUCUCAGUCUUUACCUCUUUGCAUUCAGUGUGUGACCUCCUACCUCUAUAAGAUAGUGUGCAAGAUGAGUACCAAGCCUUUGCUUCCCCUUAACUUUUCUAGAAGUAACACACAUGCACGUCCUCACACACACACACAUACACUCACAAUUUGUGUAGAAUUAUUUUUCACUCUGAUUUCUGCCUGUGGAACAGAUUGAAGAUUUUACCAUCCAAAACCCACAAAGAGAAAACUCCUACUGUGGUCUUCAGAAUUUCCAUUCAGCUGAUUUGCCUGCCAAGUCCAGUGACCAGUACCGCCGCUCCUGAUGGUGGGGAGCAUAUGGUACUGCUGUGAAUAGUUUUGCUCUCACUGCUGUGAAAUCCCACGCCUUCCUACAGAAUGUGUUUGGAGGAGCAAAUGCAGAAAAAUCAAACGCCCAGAGAGGUCAAGAUGUCUGCAAAGAGACACAGAGUGAUGCAAUGGAAAUCCUGUGUGGAGGUCUCCAGAAGGCUAAUUUCUGAAGCAGUGUUCUAUCCACAUGACCGUGCUGCUGCUCAUUAAGAUGAACAAUGGAAAGUAGAAAGAAAUCUCCUCCAAGGUAUUAGAAUCAUGUACAGUUUCAUAUUUGACUAAAAAAUUAUUUCCCCAGCCUGUUUUCUCAACACUAAGGAUAUGCAGAAAAGUAUCACUUGCAUUCAUCAUGAAAAUUACAGAAAAAUGACUGAAACUACUGAGAACAUUAUUAAAUAAAACAUAUACUUAUUAUCUGU